GUCCUUAGUUACCAGCACGUUAUGGUGGGCACUCUAAGGAGACUGCCGGUGACAAACCGGAGGAAGGUGGGGAUGACGUCAAGUCAUCAUGGCCCUUACCGGCCUGGGCUACACACGUGCUACAAUGGUCGGUACAAAGGGUUGCCAAGCCGCGAGGUGGAGCUAAUCCCAUAAAACCGAUCGUAGUCCGGAUCGCAGUCUGCAACUCGACUGCGUGAAGUCGGAAUCGCUAGUAAUCGUGAAUCAGAAUGUCACGGUGAAUACGUUCCCGGGCCUU
rnacentral:rRNA from 1 species